rnacentral:rRNA from 1 species
GCGUGCUUAACACAUGCAAGUCGAACGGUGAAGCCCCGCUUGCGGGGUGGAUCAGUGGCGAACGGGUGAGUAACACGUGAGCAACCUGCCCCUGACUCUGGGAUAAGCGCUGGAAACGGCGUCUAAUACUGGAUACGAACCGCGAAGGCAUCUUCAGUGGUUGGAAAGAUUUUUUGGUUGGGGAUGGGCUCGCGGCCUAUCAGCUUGUUGGUGAGGUAAUGGCUCACCAAGGCGUCGACGGGUAGCCGGCCUGAGAGGGUGACCGGCCACACUGGGACUGAGACACGGCCCAGACUCCUACGGGAGGCAGCAGUGGGGAAUAUUGCACAAUGGGCGGAAGCCUGAUGCAGCAACGCCGCGUGAGGGAUGACGGCCUUCGGGUUGUAAACCUCUUUUAGCAAGGAAGAAGCGUGAGUGACGGUACUUGCAGAAAAAGCGCCGGCUAACUACGUGCCAGCAGCCGCGGUAAUACGUAGGGCGCAAGCGUUAUCCGGAAUUAUUGGGCGUAAAGAGCUCGUAGGCGGUUUGUCGCGUCUGCUGUGAAAUCCCGAGGCUCAACCUCGGGCCUGCAGUGGGUACGGGCAGACUAGAGUGCGGUAGGGGAGAUUGGAAUUCCUGGUGUAGCGGUGGAAUGCGCAGAUAUCAGGAGGAACACCGAUGGCGAAGGCAGAUCUCUGGGCCGUAACUGACGCUGAGGAGCGAAAGGGUGGGGAGCAAACAGGCUUAGAUACCCUGGUAGUCCACCCCGUAAACGUUGGGAACUAGUUGUGGGGUCCUUUCCACGGAUUCCGUGACGCAGCUAACGCAUUAAGUUCCCCGCCUGGGGAGUACGGCCGCAAGGCUAAAACUCAAAGGAAUUGACGGGGACCCGCACAAGCGGCGGAGCAUGCGGAUUAAUUCGAUGCAACGCGAAGAACCUUACCAAGGCUUGACAUACACG